GCGGAGAUCAUAUCAACGUGAAACUGAAAGCAGAAUUAACUCUGUUUUCUGAGACACUCCGUCUGAGCAAAAGGACUUGUUAGGCUAUUCUUUUUCGAUAGACCUAUAUCUGAAGCCGUAUAAAGCUGUAGAAGAUGGUUCGGGUGUAUUUCAUCAGCAACGGAUUUGCAAACAAUUACCUCAAUGAGAUCAAGAUCCUCCUCCAGAGUAAAGUGAAGGUGACUGAAGCCAGAGAUCUAUCAGGAUGUGAUGUCAUGGUGGCCCUCUGUACCAUUGUUUCUCGAGUUGGAACAGAUGUCGAGGCUGCACUUCGAGAGAUUCCUACUGCAAAGCCUGGAGUUCUUGUGGUGCUUCAUCACACAUUUGAUAAAGACUACGUGGUACCAAACACCCAGAGGUUCAUGGAACACAGACACAUGAUUACAGCAGACCUGCUGGUCAACGAAGGUGAUGGAAUACUCAUUUGCCUAAGUAAUGAACAGUCCAUCAGAAAUGCUGCAGAUUUCCUACGCCAAAAUGAAACACACACACCUACACAUGCACACACUGGUAUGCUGAUCAACUGUGUUGAUGUCCCAAAAUGUUCACAAAGCAGAUUGAUAUCUUUGCUGUUUGCUUUGUUUUUCAUUGUAAUGGUUGUUUUGCUCAUCAUUGUAAUCUGGGUUCUAAUCUGAUGCGACUCCAUAAUUCCCAAUUGAAGAUCCAUGCAAUUCAUGGCCAAGCCCUACGGGCACCAAAAAUAUACCUGUGGGCAUCAACAGUGAUAUGACUAACCAGUGUCUUUUGCCUUUUGACUUCAAAGUAUUGUAGUUUAGAAGCUGUGAUAAACCUCAACUUCAAGCUGUCCACUGUCUCUUUAACCAUCAUUCUGUUACCUUUCUCGUUACUGUUGGGGAAUCAUGAGAAUGUACCAUAAUAAAAAAGCGAUCAGUUACGAAGAGCUCUUUUUUUUGCCAAAAAUAAUCACUGCAUUAU